UAGAGACCCCUGUAGUCCUAGCCGUAAACUAUGAACACUAGCUAUUUCCCGUAAGGGGAGUGGCGUAAGCUAACGCGUUAAGUGUUCCGCCUGGGGAGUACGACCGCAAGGUUAAAACUCAAAGGAAUUGACGGGGAAACGCACAAUCAGCGUGCCAUGUGGUUUAAUUGGAUACGAAACCUUGAACCUUACCUAGAUUUGACAUGUAACUGCAAAUCCCUGGAAACAGGGACUCCUUCGAGGGUGUUACACAGCUGCUGCAUGGUUGUCGUCAGUUCGUGUCGUGAGCUAUCGCAGGCGUCGGCUUAAGUGCCGUAACGAACGCAACCCCUGUGCUAUGUUAAAUAUCCAUAGCAGACUGCCUUGGAUUUUUCCAAGGAGGAAGGAGGGGAUGACGUCAAAUCAGCAUGGCGCUUAUAUCUAGGGCUACACACAUGGCGUAAUGGGUGGGACAACGGGAUGCCAAGGCGCGAGCCGGAGCUAAUCCUUAUAAACCCAUCCUCAGUCACUGCCCGUCAAGUCAACAAAGUCAGUAGUGCCCGAAGUAGGUACCCGCAACCGCAAGGAUCGGGCCUCCUAAGGUAAGACUGGCGAUGGGGGCUAAGUCGACAAGGUAUCCGUACUGGAAGGUGCGGAUGGAUCACCUCCUU
rnacentral:rRNA from 1 species